rnacentral:rRNA from 1 species
UGGGGAAUAUUGCACAAUGGGGGAAACCCUGAUGCAGCGAUGCCGCGUGGAGGAAGAAGGUUUUCGGAUUGUAAACUCCUUUUAACAGGGACGAUAAUGACGGUACCUGAAGAAAAAGCUCCGGCUAACUACGUGCCAGCAGCCGCGGUAAUACGUAGGGAGCGAGCGUUGUCCGGAAUUACUGGGUGUAAAGGGAGCGUAGGCGGGGCUGCAAGUCAGAUGUGAAAACUAUGGGCUCAACCUGUAGAUUGCAUUUGAAACUGUGGUUCUUGAGUGAAGUAGAGGUAAGCGGAAUUCCUAGUGUAGCGGUGAAAUGCGUAGAUAUUAGGAGGAACAUCGGUGGCGAAGGCGGCUUACUGGGCUUUUACUGACGCUGAGGCUCGAAAGCGUGGGGAGCAAACAGGAUUAGAUACCCUGGUAGU